ACUGGAGCAGCUGGGGGCUGUCUGGGCACCUCUCUCCUUGUAGUCUCAUGUCUCUGGGUGGUCUCUCCAUCUGGGCUAGUUUGGGCUCCCUCAUAGCACACUGGCCUUAAGAC
rnacentral:miRNA from 1 species